CCGUCGGCUGCGGAUGGUGCGGAGCCCUCCUCCGGUGUCAGCAUGGCAUUCUUCAGUUUGUCAGACCGUCAUUCAGAAGUGUGGCAUUCCUGUGGGGGUUAAGAAGCACACUGUGAAGUUUACAGUUCUUCAGGUUUGGGGUGGAGUUCCUUCCUGUGCUGGCUGAGAUCUGUGCUUUCCUGGAUUUUAGUUGUGUGUUCUAUAUGAGCAGUAUUGGGCUUUUUUUUUUUUUUAAUUUUUGUGGAUUCUUUGUUGUAUAGCAUGUUUUCCUAUGUUUACUGUGCUUAUGAGAUUUUGUAAUUUUGCUGUAUGUACAUAAUAUGUAUUGGAGCAUGUAAAGGAUUUUUUUGGAUAUAUACGGACUAUGUCUUGUUUUUAUGGUAUUUUUGCCUGGUAGUAAAAAAUACAAACUGUUAAAUAGGCUUGAAUGUGAUAUUUUGGAGUUGCAUUUUUACACAGAAACAUGUGUUAGAAAGGUAUUUGUUGACCUGAAUUUAAUGGGAUUCCUACAAUUGUAAGCUGUGCUUUGCAUUGUAUUUUCAGUCUCUGUCCUGCGUCUGUACAGCAUUUGUUGAUGUGGAAUGAAUAUUUGCAUGUUGUGUACUUGAAAAGCAAGUUUGGACCUC
ensembl:lncRNA